GAUGCGCCACAUGGACCGGGAUACCCCGGUGGACAUCAAGAAGAAACUAGAGAGAAAGGCCCUGUCAUUGGCAGACCAGUUCACUCUUCCGAACUCCCAGUAUAUGAUCACUACGCUGGCCUCCAUGGGCUUCUGCUCCAAGCCGCUGUUGGCCGUCUGCAGCAGAAAGAUAGCAGAGCACGUCCAUGGAGUCCCCUUCAACCGCCUG